UGGGGAAUAUUGCGCAAUGGGCGAAAGCCUGACGCAGCGACGCCGCGUGGGUGAUGAAGGCCUUCGGGUUGUAAAGCCCUGUCGGGAGGGACGAAACCUCGGUGACCUAAUACGUCACCGACCUGACGGUACCUCUUAAGGAAGCACCGGCUAACUCCGUGCCAGCAGCCGCGGUAAUCCGGAGGGUGCGAGCGUUGUUCGGAAUUACUGGGCGUCAAGCGCGUGCAGGCGGUCUCUUAAGUCUGGUGUGAAAGCCCGGGGCUCACCCCCGGAAGGGCACGGGAGACUGGGAGGCUAGAGUACCGGAGAGGAAGGUGGAAUUCCUGGUGUAGCGGUGAAAUGCGUAGAUAUCAGGAGGAACACCGGUGGCGAAGGCGGCCUUCUGGACGGCUACUGACGCUGAGACGCGAAAGCGUGGGGAGCAAACA
rnacentral:rRNA from 1 species